rnacentral:sRNA from 1 species
ACUACGUAUGCUCAUAAGCCUAGGUUGG